rnacentral:rRNA from 1 species
UACGUAGGGUGCAAGCGUUAAUCGGAAUUACUGGGCGUAAAGCGUGCGCAGGCGGUUUUGUAAGUUUGUCGUGAAAGCCCCGGGCUCAACCUGGGAAUGGCGAUGAAGACUGCAAGGCUUGAAUCUGGCAGAGGGGGGUAGAAUUCCACGUGUAGCAGUGAAAUGCGUAGAGAUGUGGAGGAACAUCGAUGGCGAAGGCAGCCCCCUGGGUCAAGAUUGACGCUCAUGCACGAAAGCGUGGGGAGCAAACAGG